rnacentral:rRNA from 1 species
AUUAUCGGAGAGUUUGAUCCUGGCUCAGGACGAACGCUGGCGGCGUGCCUAAUACAUGCAAGUCGAGCGGACAGAUGGGAGCUUGCUCCCUGAUGUUAGCGGCGGACGGGUGAGUAACACGUGGGUAACCUGCCUGUAAGACUGGGAUAACUCCGGGAAACCGGGGCUAAUACCGGAUGCUUGUUUGAACCGCAUGGUUCAAACAUAAAAGGUGGCUUCGGCUACCACUUACAGAUGGACCCGCGGCGCAUUAG